rnacentral:rRNA from 1 species
GAUGAACGCUGGCGGCGUGCCUAAUACAUGCAAGUCGAGCGAACAGACGAGGAGCUUGCUCCUCUGACGUUAGCGGCGGACGGGUGAGUAACACGUGGAUAACCUACCUAUAAGACUGGGAUAACUUCGGGAAACCGGAGCUAAUACCGGAUAAUAUAUUGAACCGCAUGGUUCAAUAGUGAAAGACGGUUUUGCUGUCACUUAUAGAUGGAUCCGCGCCGCAUUAGCUAGUUGGUAAGGUAACGGCUUACCAAGGCAACGAUGCGUAGCCGACCUGAGAGGAUGAUAGGCCACACUGGAACUGAGCCACGGUCCAGACUCCUACGGGAGGCAGCAGUAGGGAAUCUUCCGCAAUGGGCGAAAGCCUGACGGAGCAACGCCGCGUGAGUGAUGAAGGUCUUCGGAUCGUAAAACUCUGUUAUUAGGGAAGAACAAAUGUGUAAGUAACUAUGCACGUCUUGACGGUACCUAAUCAGAAAGCCACGGCUAACUACGUG